GGGACCGGGGCGUGGGGCGGGGCCGAACGUGGUGCGGGCUGAACCAGGGAGCGGUCCCUUGUGACGUCACUGGGAUUGACCUGUAAUAACCCCGCUGUGGGCGUAGGGCCGGCAAACGUGAUGUUCGGGAUGAAGGAUCUGGCUCACGUGUUCCGCCUGUAGCUUGCCAGGAUAGGCCCCUGCUGCCCCAUGGCCGGAGCUGAAGGACGUGGUUAGGAAAUGGAUGGAUCCUACAGGUGGCACUAUUGGACCGGAAAAAUGACAGUACCUGAAGAAACCUCUGUCUUUGAAAACAAAUGUUGUUAGCAGCGACCAAUUAGAAACGGCGAAUUCUGUGUUCAGAAUUUCAGCCCAUGCUUGCAGAGGAUCCAGAAACCCCACUGAAGGACCCACUCUUCCUCCCUUCAGGAUUACUAACCCCAGAAAUGAAGAUAUAACACCAAGGGGUAAUUACUGUAUCCAUAACCCAGGGAGCAGAUGUAU